rnacentral:rRNA from 1 species
CGGGAUUCCCUUAGUAAGGGCGACUGAAACGGGAUGAGCCCAGCGCAUAACCUCGCGGUCCUGAGCGGGCCGACGAGGGGUGUUGCGUAUCGGUGGAUCCGUGCCGCCCAUUGAGCACCAUCUAAGUCAUUCCGAUUGAAGUCAGUUCCAUGGAGGGUGUAAGACCCCCGUCGAUGGUUAUCGACCCCGUGAGGGGAAGAAUGCUCUUUUGGGCGGAGGGGUCGUGAACACCGGAGAGUCGGGUUGCUUGAGACUGCAGCCCUAAGAGAGGUGGUAAACUCCAUCUAAGGCUAAAUACUCCCACGAGACCGAUAGGUAACAAGUACCGUGAGGGAAAGUUGAAAAGAACUUUGAAGAGAGAGUUCAAAGGGCGUGAAACUGUUAGAAGCUUAAACGGGUGGAACCGCGAGGGUCGAACGAGGGCAGUCAACCCUGUCGGGCGGGCGCAGCGGGGGACCUGAUCGUCUGAUUUGUCUAUUGGUUUUUGCAGGCGACGAGGCAACUGCGGUCCCCCCUGCUCGUUCCGUGUCGACGGGCGUACUUGUCCUUCAGUAGCACCGCCGCGACCUGUUGUCGCUGCUCACGGACCCAGCCGGCGGAUUGGUACCCAGCAGCCAGGGGAUAACCGUCCUGGGAACGUGGCAGCYGGCAACGGUCACUGCCAGGAGGAGGCYGCCGCCKCSKCGGCGGCCUGCUCUCGCGGCGGGAAUUCCGGAGUCGGUUACCCACCUGACCCGUCUUGAAACACGGACCAAGGAGUCUAGCAGGUGCGCGAGUCUAAAGGUUCUGUCACUGGACCUGGAGGCGCAAUGAAAGUGAGCAAUCUUGUGAGCAGGCCGAUCCCCGGUGUAGUGCCGGGGCGCAGGCCGAGGACUUGCCACCCAGCGGCCGCGGGAUGGCGGCUGCGGCCUCGCGCCGUAGUCGCGGCCCGCGGUUCGCUGGCAAGUACCUUGAGAGCGCACCCGCUGGGACCCGAAAGAUGGUGAACUAUGCCUGGCCAGGACGAAGCCAGAGGAAACUCUGGUGGAGGUCCGAACCAGUUCUGACGUGCAAAUCGAUUGUCAGAGCUGGGUAUAGGGGCGAAAGACUAAUCGAACCA